GUUGGUUCUAAAAUUAUUUUAACUUAACUCUAAACAACAAUGUUAAAAUGUUAAAAUUUCGCAAGAAAUAAAAGGCUAUUUUAUUUUAUUUAUUUAUUAUUUAUUUGCAGGUUCAUACAUUUGCCAUUUAAUGCAAGUAGCUAAUGUAUGAACUCGCAAUAAACACUAAUCAAUGUAUAAACAGACCCCAAUGUCAGCCUCACAUACCUGAAUGGGCUGUGUGCCACACUUUCCCAUGCUGACCUUACAUGAAGUUGAAUUGAACAUAGGUACAGUCAGCUGCAAAAAGUAUGUAUCGAAAGAAUUGUACUUGGUACUACACUCUUAUUACGCUGCGGGCUUAGCAUGGUCUUAGUUAUCACGCGAUAUGGUGACAAUCUUGUUGUUAAAAUGACAGUUUUCUUCGAUUUUAUCGUUCACACUGUUGCAGACGAUAAUAGGAGUUAUCCACAUUUGACAGCGAUAGAUGACAAUCGACAAUUUGCAUAACAUGGUCGUCGGAUAACUUGACACAUUAUCCCAUUUUGGCAGUUCAAUAUAGUUAAUUUUAUCUACGUGCUUCUUAGGUCACGACAAGCGUUGUCGUGGAUGCAAAGCUCAUGAAAAAACCUAUGUUAAGGUAUAAAUUAUCAGUAAGUAUCCGUUUUUCUAUGAUUUUAUUGAGUGUUAGUUAGUUAGUUAGUAGUGUAACUCCUCUGGAGUUGCAGGUGUACAUAGGCUACGGAGACUGCUUACCAUCAGGCGGGCCGUAUGCUUGUUUGCCACCGACGUAGCAAAAAAAAAAAAAGUUCCGCUGCAUAUAAUAUUGUCAAUAUUUUCUUUGCAGGGAUGUCGAGAUUUUAUUUUCUUCCAGCUCGCAGCUGCUGCAGAGGAAAAAGAAAGAAGAAGGAUUCAGCGACGAUCUUUGAGGGACGCUGCAAACCCCUUUGAUAUGCCGGACGAAGAGUUCCGUCAUAUAUACAGAGUACGAAAGGAGUUAGUGUUAUAUAUUUGUGAAGAACUCAACGCCGACCUCCAGCCUCACAAGGGUGAUGGAUUGCCAUCUCACCUUAAGGUUCUAACAGCAUUACAUCUGCUGGCUGAUGGCAAUUAUCAACACGGGACUGGUCAGGAUCAUGGUUUAUCUAUUGGUCAGACGACUGUAAGCCAGUAUCUCGAACAAUUUGUAGAUGCUGUGAACAGAAGGUAUGUUCAUUGGACCACUGAACUACUAGGCAUCAAAAACUGUGAGAGUAUACUAGGGCUAUCUUAGUAGUUUUUACUUUUUUGAAUAAGCAUCAGUGUUGAUGUAUUGUGUAAUGAGAUAGGUAUUGUUUGAUAGUUAUGUUCAGGUAGUUAGUUACAUUGGAUACAUAAUCUGGAAUUGCAAUACUAGCUAGGUUUGACUAAGGUUAAGUUCUAAAAUGUGCCAUCUAAAAUAUGCUCCUUUUUACAGACUUAAAGACCAAUGGAUAGUUUUUCCUGGAACUGAUCGGUCCCGACGAUCAGUUGCCUCAGGAUUUGAGGAUGCAUAUGGUCUGCCAAAUAUCUUGGGUGCAGUAGACUGCACUCAAGUGAAAAUAUUUCCCACCUGUGCCACACGGAGUGCAAUAUCUGAAUCGGAAAGGCGUUCACGCUCUUAAUGUACAGCUAAUUGCAGAUGUCAACUGUAAGAUCUUGGCAGUAAACACGAGGUUUCCUGGCCGUGUGCACGACUCUUUCAUAUUUAACAAUUCGUCCAUUAAGGAUGAAUUAAGAAGAUUGUACAAUGGCCACAUUGGGGAGUAUUUCCUUCUGGGUAAGCAGAAAAUUGUGUAUCUGUACCUAGUGUAAAUUUAUUCGAUGGGGAGACGUGACGUACGCGUUUGCGUUAACUGUCAUUUUGUAUGGAAUUUUGAGUUUCCAAAACAUCCCGCUUGGCGCGCUGUUUCUAAAUGCCUUAGCACCACUUGCACCAUUUCACUAACUCGGGGUUAACUGGUUAACCCUGGAGUUACCAUGUUACCAGUACAAUUUCACAUUGGGUUAACGGUUUAACCGGUUAACCCCGGGUUAUUGGGAUGGGGCAAGUGCAUGUUAGUAAAUGUACUUAGAUCACGACCACAGAAUAAAUAGUUCAUGACUAAGUUAAUAUACCUAUCAUAAUGUAAAUAACCGGCCAAGAGCAUGUCGGGCCACGCUCAGUGUAGGGUUCCGUAGUUACUCUUCCGUCACUAUAAGCUAAACUGGAGCUUAAAGUGUAGUAAAUGGUACCUUUCACCCGAGUUAAACAAAUAGGCAAAUUUGCAUAAUCAGUACCUAAUUAAAGUAAGUCUUUUUACUAUGAAGGGAAAACUUUUUGCGAUAACUCAAAAACAGCUAAACUGAUCAUGUCCGCUAUAGUUUUCAUUUAAUGUCUUUCUUAAGCUCUACUUCCACGAUUUUUUUCAUAUUUUUUGGACCUAUGGUUCAAAAGUUAGAGGGGGGGGACACAUUUUUUUUUUCUUUCGGAGCGAUUAUCUCCGAAUAUAUUCACUUUAUCAAAAAAUGUUUCUUGAAAACACCUAUUAGUUUUGAAAGACCUUUCCAACGAUAUCCCACACUCUAGGGUUGAAGCGAAAAAAAAAUUCACCCCCACUUUACGUGUAGGGGAGGUACCCUAAAAAAAAAAAUUUUAGAUUUUAUUGUACGACUUUGUCGGCUUUAUUGAUUUAUAUAUCCAUGCCAAAUUUCAGCUUUCUAGCACUAACGACCACGGAGCAAAGCCUCGGACAGACAGACAGACAGACAGACAGACAGACGGACAUGGCGAAACUAUAAGGGUUCCGUUUUAUGCCAUUUGGCUACGGAACCCUAAAAAGGCAUAAGCAAGGGGGAAGUUUCGUUAGUUGUUCAGAUGAUUAAGUAUUAUGUAACCAAAAAAUAAUAAUUUCAGGUGACUCGGGGUAUGCUCUUGAGCCAUGGCUCAUGACGCCAGUGCUGAAUCCUGCCCCGGGAAGCCCAGAAGCAAGGUAGGUACACGGUCUGGCACUGUCGCGUGCGCAACACGAUCAAGCGUACCAAUGGGUACCUCAAAAACGUAUUCCGGUGCCUGGGCCACGACCGCGUCUUACACUACAGCCCGACGAAGGCAUCGUCAAUAAUAAAUGCAUGUUGCGUAGUAUACAACAUAAUGCAACAUUAUAGAAAUGUUCCCGAGGAAAUCGUAGGAGAUAUUGAUGAAGACGCUCCUCAAGAACUUCCUCAUCGUCAUGCGCAAAACGGACUUCUAUUAAGAGUGGCGCAGGAAAAGCGUGCGCUUCUAAUAAAUACAUAUUUUGCUUAUUACUAUGUUUUAUUCUGAUACAAAUACCUACCUAAUAUACAGAACGUAGAAAAAUGCGCAAUGCUUUAGAUUCCCUUAACUUUGUUAUGGCUACAGGAAAAAU